rnacentral:lncRNA from 1 species
AUGAGGGUGGAGCUCAAGAGGUGGGCACGCGGCCCAUUGUUGACGCCUCUGGCCCCGCCCACCGUCCUCCGGCGGGUGGACUCUCACCAGCCGUGGCCAGCGUCGCCCGAGGGGAGGCCUGGGUGGGCCGCUCCCCACAACCGCCCCCUGCCCUUCCCGUCCGGGGCCUCCUCGGGCACCGCCACCGACUGCUGUCCCCCUCGGCGGCCACCUCACGCCGGGCCCCGUUGCCCUCGGCCUCCCGUCGGCGGCAGCGGGCUAGGCGGCCGCCACCUUCGCCUCCGGCGUCGCCGCAGCCCUGUCUGUCGCCUCCCCGGUGAGGUACUCCCGGCUGCCAUGUCCGCCUCCGGAGGUGGAGGCCAGGCCCCGGGUGGCCAGGAGAGCCCCAUGGAUGAGGCGGGGGCCCCGGCGGCCGGAGGGGGCAACGAGGUGGCCGGCGGCGAGGCGGGGGCCGGCAGUGAUGGAGUAGCCAGGGGCGAUGGGGUGGCCGCUGGACAUGGAGCGGCUGAUGGCGAUGGGAUGGCCGGAGACGGAGCGGCCGGUGGCGGAGACGGAGCGGCCGGUGGCGGAGACGGAGACGGAGGGGCCGGAGGCGGAGACGGAGACGGAGGGGCCGGAGGCGGAGACGGAGACUGGGAGGUCGGAGACGAGGACAGAGUGGCCGGCAGAGAUCGGGUGGGCGGAGGAGGAGUGGCCGGCGGAGGAGGAGUGGCCGGCGGAGGAUGGGUGGCCGGAGAUGGAGACUGGGAGGUCGGAGACGAGGACAGAGUGGCCGGCGGGGAUCGGGUGGGCGGAGGAGGAGUGGCCGGCGGAGGAUGGGUGGCCGGAGAUGGAGACUGGGAGGCCGAAGACGAAGACCGAGUGGCCGGCGGGGAUUGGGCGGGUGGGGGUGGAGUGGCCGGCAGAGACGAGGUGGCCAGAGGUGGAGACGGAGCGGCCGGCGGAAACUGGGGGGCCGGAGAUGGAGAGGCCGGCGGAGACGGGGUGGCCGGGAACGAAGUGGCCGGCGGAGACGGGGUGGUUGGAGCAGGAGUGGCCGGCGGAGACGAGGUGGCCAGAGGUGGAGACGGAGGGGCCGGAGGCGGAGGCGGAGGCGGAGACGGAGCGGCCGAUGGCGGAGACGGAGUGGCCGUGGUGGAGACAUGA